UACGUAGGUGGCAAGCGUUGUCCGGAUUUACUGGGCGUAAAGAGCGCGCAGGCGGCUGGUCAAGUCCGAUGUGAAAUCUCCCGGCUUAACUGGGAAACUGCAUCGGAAACUGAUCGGCUUGAAGGUGGGAGAGGGUAGUGGAAUUCCUGGUGUAGCGGUGAAAUGCGCAGAUAUCAGGAGGAACACCGGUGGCGAAGGCGGGUCUCUGGGCCAAUAAACUGACGCUGAGAAGCGAAAGCAUGGGGGAGC
rnacentral:rRNA from 1 species